AACGAACGCUGGCGGCAUGCCUAACACAUGCAAGUCGAACGAGACCUUCGGGUCUAGUGGCGCACGGGUGCGUAACGCGUGGGAACCUGCCCUUAGAUUCGGCAUACCUCCCCGAAAGGGUUGCUUAUACCGGAUAAUAUCUUCGGACCAAAGAUUUAUCGCCUUUGGAUGGGCCCGCGUUGGAUUAGCUAGUUGUUAGGGUAAAAGCCUACCAAGGCGACGAUCCAUAGCUGGUCUGAGAGGAUGAUCAGCCACACUGGGACUGAGACACGGCCCAGACUCCUACGGGAGGGAGCAGGGGGGAAUAUUGGACAAUGGGCGAAAGCCUGAUCCAGCAAUGCCGCGUGAGUGAUGAAGGCCUUAGGGUUGUAAAGCUCUUUUACCCGGGAUGAUAAUGACAGUACCGGGAGAAUAAGCACCGGUUAACUCCGU
rnacentral:rRNA from 1 species